rnacentral:lncRNA from 1 species
CUCUCGAGAAGCUGAGGAUUUUACUAUAUCUUCUCCAGUUUUUUUCUUAUAUCUCCUUGCACCUAUGAAGGAAGGAAGCAUUCCUUUCCUAAGUGGAAAUAGUAUGUUGGACUUCCUAUAUUAAUUACUAAUUAUUAUUAGCUGAUAUUAAUUAUUAAUUAAAAUAUAUUAUCUAUUUAGAAAUACUCUGGACCUAUCUCAUCCUCAGACUGUGAAAAGUUCAAUGACCAAAGGUCUUCUGCUCUCUGAAAGAACAUGAAUUGUCCAAGAAAACCCAACAAGAGUCGGGAUGGUAUAAACAUUAAAGAACUAAGUCACAGCUAGAAACUAAUAGUCAUAGAGAUGCCAUAAAUGGAAAACAAGGAAGAAAUGAUGACUUAAACAUUCAAGAGUGGAGCUUAAGAGCAAUGAACUGGAAUAAGGUCAAAAUACUAAAGAGUACUUUUAGGAUAAGAAACUCACCACCUCCCUGAAUCCAGAAAGUGAACUGUUUGGAGAAGGUGCCUUGGAGGUGCCUGCAGAAACCACACACUGCCCCAAAGGAUGCAGAAUGAAC